CAGGCCUAACACAUGCAAGUCGAGCGGACUUAUCCUUCGGGAUAGGUUAGCGGCGGACGGGUGAGUAACACGUAGGCAACCUGCCUGUAAGAUCGGGAUAACUACCGGAAACGGUAGCUAAGACCGGAUAGCUGGUUUCUCCGCAUGGGGGAAUCAUGAAACAUGGGGCAACCUAUGGCUUACGGAUGGGCCUGCGGCGCAUUAGCUAGUUGGUGGGGUAAUGGCCCACCAAGGCGACGAUGCGUAGCCGACCUGAGAGGGUGAUCGGCCACACUGGGACUGAGACACGGCCCAGACUCCUACGGGAGGCAGCAGUAGGGAAUCUUCCGCAAUGGGCGCAAGCCUGACGGAGCAACGCCGCGUGUGUGAUGAAGGUUUUCGGAUCGUAAAGCUCUGUUGCCAAGGAAGAACGCCUCGGAGAGUAACUGCUCUGAGGGUGACGGUACUUGAGAAGAAAGCCCCGGCUAACUACGUGCCAGCAGCCGCGGUAAUACGUAGGGGGCAAGCGUUGUCCGGAAUUAUUGGGCGUAAAGCGCGCGCAGGCGGUCUUUUAAGUUUGGUGUUUAAGCCCGGGGCUCAACCCCGGUUCGCACUGAAAACUGGGAGACUUGAGUGCAGGAGAGGAAAGCGGAAUUCCACGUGUAGCGGUGAAAUGCGUAGAGAUGUGGAGGAACACCAGUGGCGAAGGCGGCUUUCUGGACUGUAACUGACGCUGAGGCGCGAAAGCGUGGGGAGCAAACAGGAUUAGAU
rnacentral:rRNA from 1 species